AAAAACAGUCAGGAUGGCCACCAUACUAAGUACUAGUGCCGCAGGAGUUUUACUUUUUUAAGUCCCCCUGCUGUUCGAGUGCUUAACAUUGUGGUUAUUCCAAAUCAACA
rnacentral:pre_miRNA from 13 species